CUCCUCUCAAGGUCGCACCUGGGGAGUUCCAAUAUUUUACCAGUCUCGGCUAUGGGAGGGAGAGUCAAGCAGAGGCCUACCCAUUCCAUUCCUAGCUUGGGCAGUGGCUAGCAAGUCGAAGGCAAUCUGCUACAAUU